rnacentral:rRNA from 1 species
CGAACGGGUGAGUAAUGCGUGAAAAACCUGCCCCAUGCUCCAGAAUAGCUCUUGGAAACGGGUGGUAAUGCUGGAUGCUCCAACUUGACGCAUGUCUUGUUGGGAAAGUGUUUAGUGGCAUGGGAUGGGGUCGCGUCCUAUCAGCUUGUAGGCGGGGUAAUGGCCCACCUAGGCUUCGACGGGUAGCCGGCCUGAGAGGGCGGACGGCCACAUUGGGACUGAGAUACGGCCCAGACUCCUACGGGAGGCAGCAGCC